AGAGUUUGAUCAUGGCUCAGAACGAACGCUGGCGGCGUGCUUAACACAUGCAAGUCGAACGCGAAAGUCCUUCGGGAUGAGUAGAGUGGCGCACGGGUGAGUAAUCCAUAGGAACAUGCCUUCAAAUGGGGGGAUAACUGCGGGAAACUGCAGCUAAUACCGCAUGUGAUCGUAAGAUUAAAGAUGGCCUCUAUUUAUAAGCUAUCGUUUGAAGAUUGGCCUAUGUCCCAUUAGCUAGUUGGUAGGGUAAAAGCCUACCAAGGCAACGAUGGGUAGCUGGUCUGAGAGGACGAUCAGCCACACUGGAACUGAGACACGGUCCAGACUCCUACGGGAGGCAGCAGUGGGGAAUUUUGCACAAUGGGGGAAACCCUGAUGCAGCAACGCCGCGUGAGUGAGGAAGGCCUUUGGGUUGUAAAGCUCUUUCGGCUGAGAAGAAGGGUUUUGCAGUGAAUAAUUGCAGAGCUUGACGGUAUCAGAAGAAGAAGCACCUGCUAACUUCGUGCCAGCAGCAGCGGUAAUACGAAGGGUGCGAGCGUUGUUCGGAAUCAUUGGGCGUAAAGGGCGCGUAGGUGGGUUGGUAAGUCAAAUGUGAAAUCCUUGGGCUUAACCUGAGACAUGCAUUUGAAACUGUCGAUCUUGAAUGUUCGAGAGGAUGAUAGAAUUCCAGGUGUAGAAGUGAAAUUCGUAGAUAUCUGGAGGAAUACCCGAGGCGAAGGCGAUCAUCUGGCGAAACAUUGACACUGAGGCGCGAAAGCGUGGGGAUCAAACAGGAUUAGAUACCCUAGUAGUCC
rnacentral:rRNA from 1 species